UACGUAGGGUGCGAGCGUUAAUCGGAAUUACUGGGCGUAAGCGUGCGCAGGCGGUUCGUUGUGUCCGAUGUGAAAGCCCCGGGCUUAACCCUGGGAAUGGCAUUGGAAACUGGCGGGCUUGAGUGCGGCAGAGGGGGUGGAAUUCCGCGUGUAGCAGUGAAAUGCGUAGAGAUGCGGAGGAACACCGAUGGCGAAGGCAGCCCCUGGGUCGACACUGACGCUCAGGCACGAAAGCGUGGGGAGCAAACAGG
rnacentral:rRNA from 1 species